rnacentral:lncRNA from 1 species
CACACUGUGUUUCAAAAAGCAAAGACGUCUAAUUAUGUAGCCGGUGGGUAGUUUCUGCCAGUGAACAUACAAUUAUUCUUUUCGUAGUCGUGAGUAAGAUCUUUCCAAACAGGGUCACACACAAGCAAGUUUCUAUUACCAGGAAUAUAAAUAGUUAAACCAUAACUUUCGUGAAAACAUUAUUUUUAUUAUGAAUCAAAAACAACUUACACAACUUAAAUUCAGUGUGAAUAAAUUGAUUCAAAAACAUCUUAUAUGUGCUAAUGUAAAUAUGAUACUCCUUACACUUAAGAUAUAGAAUAUGCUAUCAAUUAGUAUCUUAAAAAUUAGUCCAAAUCUUAUAAAUCAAUUAAAUCUUAACCGCGUGCUCAGUAUCUGAUAAAUAGUUUGACCAUUGGUGCCAUUUGGUUAUCUUUUGGUAAAUUUGCUCUCAUGAAAAAGGAUUCACCUUAUUAUAAGCCCAACGGUCUUUGUC